rnacentral:rRNA from 1 species
UACGUAGGGUGCAAGCGUUGUCCGGAAUUAUUGGGCGUAAAGGGCGCGUAGGCGGCGCGACAAGUCACCUGUGAAACCUCUGGGCUUAACCCAGAGCCUGCAGGCGAAACUGUCGUGCUGGAGUAUGGGAGAGGUGCGUGGAAUUCCCGGUGUAGCGGUGAAAUGCGUAGAGAUCCGGAAGAACACCGGUGGCGAAGGCGGCCUGCUGGGCAGUAGCUGACGCUGAUGCGCGACAGCGUGGGGAGCAAACAGG